rnacentral:rRNA from 1 species
UUCGCAAUGCCCGAAAGGGUGACGAAGCGACGCCGCGUGAGCGAAGAAGGCCCUAGGGUUGUAAAGCUCUGUCGAGGGUUAUGAAAUAUAGAUGGGUUAAUACCCCAUUUAUUUGACAAAAGCCCAAGAGGAAGUCACGGCUAACUCUGUGCCAGCAGCCGCGGUAAUACAGAGGUGGCAAGCGUUGUUCGGUAUUAUUGGGCGUAAAGAGCACGUAGGUGAUUUUAUAAGUCAGGUGUGAAAGCCUUCUGUUCAAAGGAAGAACGGCAUCUGAAACUGUAGAUCUUGAGUGUAGGAGGGGAGAGUGGAACUUCUGGUGGAGCGGUGAAAUGCGUAGAUAUCAGAAGGAACGUCGGCGGCGAAAGCGACUCUCUGGCCUAUUACUGACACUGAGGUGCGAAAGUUAGGGGAGCAAACGGGAUUAGAUACCCCGGUAGUCCUAACCGUAAACGAUGGGCACUAAGUAGAGGGGUUUU